CCCUGUGUGCCUUGAGUUCGUGAGAGGUGAUGGGAAUUUCUAGUGUAGAGGUGAAAUUCGUAGAUAUUGAAAGAACACCAGUGGCGAAGGCGGCUCACUGGCUCGAUACUGACGCUGAGGUGCGAAAGCGUGGGGGAGCAAACAGGAUUAGAUACCCUGGUAGUCCACGCCGUAAACGAUGAAUGCUAGCUGUCGGUAAGUUUACUUAUCGGUGGCGCAGCUAACGCAUUAAGCAUUCCGCCUGGGGAGUACGGUCGCAAGAUUAAAACUCAAAUAAAUUGACGGGGACCCGCACAAGCAGUGGAGCAUGUGGUUUAAUUCGACGCAACGCGAAGAACCUUACCCAGCGUUUGACAUGGAAAGUACCGGUUACAGAAUGGUAACCUUCAGUUCGGCUGGCUUACGCACAGGUGCUGCAUGGCU
rnacentral:rRNA from 1 species